CUCUUAAGAGAAUCCUUAGAGGGUGUGGAGCCCACUUUUUUAGAGUUUGUGCAAAAAAGAAUCCUUAAAAUCCUUUGAUAAGGAUUGAUCCUUACACUGUUCACGGGUCCCAUUGACUACGUGGCGGCCCGUGAAUGGUCAUCUUUUUUUUUUAAAUCUAAAAUAUCCAAGAUUAAUCCGAAAUGCCCUUGUGCUAAGGACUCCAAUGAGUCUCACCAUUGCGGAUGGUCUUAGAAGUCUUCUGGGAAGUCUUCUCGAAAUACUUAAAUUUAAAGCGGGAAAUUGAAAUAUAAGCGGAAAAUUUAAGUGGAAAAUUAAAAUUUA
rnacentral:lncRNA from 1 species